AUUGAACGCUGGCGGCAGGCCUAACACAUGCAAGUCGAACGAGUGGCGGACGGGUGAGUAAUGUCUGGGAAACUGCCUGAUGGAGGGGGAUAACUACUGGAAACGGUAGCUAAUACCGCAUACCAUCGGAUGUGCCCAGAUGGGAUUAGCUAGUAGGGGGGGUAAAGGCUCACCUAGGCGACGAUCCAUAGCUGGUCUGAGAGGAUGACCGGCCACACUGGAACUGAGACACGGUCCAGACUCCUACGGGAGGCAGCAGUGGGGAAUAUUGGACAAUGGGCGCAAGCCUGAGGGAGCAACGCCGCGUGUGUGAUGAAGGCCUUCGGGUUGUAAAGUACUUUCAGCGGGGAGGCGUUACCCGCAGAAGAAGCACCGGCUAACUCCGUGCCAGCAGCCGCGGUAAUAC
rnacentral:rRNA from 1 species